rnacentral:rRNA from 1 species
UUGAACGCUGGCGGCAUGCUUUACACAUGCAAGUCGAACGGCAGCGCGGGCUUCGGCCUGGCGGCGAGUGGCGAACGGGUGAGUAAUGCAUCGGAACGUGCCCAGUAGUGGGGGAUAGCCCGGCGAAAGCCGGAUUAAUACCGCAUACGACCUGAGGGUGAAAGCGGGGGACCGAAAGGCCUCGCGCUAUUGGAGCGGCCGAUGUCGGAUUAGCUAGUUGGUGGGGUAAAGGCUUACCAAGGCGACGAUCCGUAGCUGGUCUGAGAGGACGACCAGCCACACUGGGACUGAGACACGGCCCAGACUCCUACGGGAGGCAGCAGUGGGGAAUUUUGGACAAUGGGGGCAACCCUGAUCCAGCCAUGCCGCGUGGGGGAAGAAGGCCUUCGGGUUGUAAACCGCUUUUGUUCGGGAAGAAAUCCUCUGGGCUAAUACCCCGGGGGGAUGACGGUACCGGAAGAAUAAGCACCGGCUAACUACGUG